rnacentral:lncRNA from 1 species
UACAAACACACUUUUCAUCUCUUACAUCUUUAACAAAUCCAAGUUCUUGAAAAAUAUCAAAAGAAUAUGACUUCUUCUACUUUGUCUUUCUUUCGACUCUCAAGCGUUCAAAUUCAAACCCCACCUCUUAAAAAAUCAAUUUUUCUUGAUCAAUCUAUGAAUAUUAGUAGUGUUCAUAUCAAAUUCAUACUUAAACUAUUAUCAACCUCAGUUACUACAACAACAAAAUUCAAUCUUUAUGAGAUUUUUGGAGGUAGAGGUCUAUGUAAUGGGUAUUGUUGUUUGAUAAUGUACCGGAGAAGAAAAAAGUAUGGGGUGUGUGUGAGGGUAUGGGGUGCGGGCUAGGGGUGANNNNNNNN